GAUGAACGCUGGCGGCGUGCCUAAUACAUGCAAGUCGAGCGAACAGAUGAGGAGCUUGCUCCUCUGACGUUAGCGGCGGACGGGUGAGUAACACGUGGAUAACCUACCUAUAAGACUGGGAUAACUUCGGGAAACCGGAGCUAAUACCGGAUAAUAUAUUGAACCGCAUGGUUCAAUAGUGAAAGACGGUUUUGCUGUCACUUAUAGAUGGAUCCGCGCCGCAUUAGCUAGUUGGUAAGGUAACGGCUUACCAAGGCAACGAUGCGUAGCCGACCUGAGAGGGGGAUCGGCCACCCUGGAACUGGGGCCCGGUCCAGACUCCUACGGGAGGCAGCAGUAGGGAAUCUUCCGCAAUGGGCGAAAGCCUGACGGAGGAACGCCGCGUGAGUGAUGAAGGUCUUCGGAUCGUAAAACUCUGUUAUUAGGGAAGAACAAAUGUGUAAGUAACUAUGCACGUCUUGACGGUACCUAAUCAGAAAGCCACGGCUAACUACGUG
rnacentral:rRNA from 1 species